AGACUAUACUACAGGCCUAACACAUGCAAGUCGAACGGCAGCACAAUCUAGCUUGCUAGAUGGGUGGCGAGUGGCGGACGGGUGAGUAAUGCGCAGGAAUAUGCCUUAUAGAGGGGGAUAACUUGGGGAAACUCAAGCUAAUACCGCAUAAUCUCUGAGGAGAAAAGCUGGGGACCUUCGGGCCUGGCGCUAUAGAUGAGCCUGCGUCCGAUUAGCUAGUUGGUAGGGUAAAGGCCUACCAAGGCGACGAUCGGUAGCUGGUCUGAGAGGAUGAUCAGCCACACUGGAACUGAGACACGGUCCAGACUCCUACGGGAGGCAGCAGUGGGGAAUAUUGGACAAUGGGGGCAACCCUGAUCCAGCAAUGCCGCGUGUGUGAAGAAGGCCUGAGGGUUGUAAAGCACUUUCAGUGGGGAGGAGGAUU
rnacentral:rRNA from 1 species